rnacentral:rRNA from 1 species
GAUGAACGCUGGCGGCGUGCCUAAUACAUGCAAGUCGAACGAGGUGCUUUUGUAGCAAUACGAGAGUAUCCUAGUGGCGAACGGGUGAGUAACGCGUUGGUGACCUACCCCAAAGUGUGGGAUAACAGUCCGAAAGGACUGCUAAUACCGCAUGUGGUUAUUGGAUCUAGAAACCGGUAACUAAAGGAGCAAUUCGCUUUGGGAGGGACCUGCGUCCCAUCAGCUAGUUGGUGAGGUAAUGGCUCACCAAGGCGACGACGGGUAGGGGACCUGAGAGGGUGGCCCCCCACAAUGGAGCUGAAACACGGUCCAUACACCUACGGGUGGCAGCAAUAGGGAAUAUUGCACAAUGGGCGAAAGCCUGAUGCAGCAACGCCGCGUGUGUGAUGAAGGCCUUCGGGUCGUAAAGCACUUUUCUGGGAGAUGAGAAAGGACAGUAUCCCAGGAAUAAGUCUCGGCUAACUACGUGCCAGCCGCCGCGGUAACAC